rnacentral:rRNA from 1 species
AAUGAACGCUGGCGGCAGGCCUAACACAUGCAAGUCGAACGAACCUUCGGGUGAGUGGCGCACGGGUGCGUAACGCGUGGGAGUAUACACAUAGGUGAGGAAUAACGUAGAGAAAUUUGCGCUAAUACCUCAUAAUGACUCCGGUCCAAAGAUUUAUCGCCUAUGAAUUAGCCCGCGUCUGAUUAGAUAGUUGGUAGGGUAAAGGCCUACCAAGUCUACGAUCAGUAGCUGGUCUGAGAGGAUGAUCAGCCACACUGGAACUGAGACACGGUCCAG